GAUGAACGCUAGCGGCAGGCUUAAUACAUGCAAGUCGAGGGGCAGCAGGACGGUAGCAAUACCGUUGCUGGCGACCGGCAAACGGGUGCGGAACACGUACGCAACCUACCCAUAACUGGGGGAUAGCCCGGGGAAACCCGGAUUAAUACACCGUAACAUAAUGAGAUGGCACCAUUUUAUUAUUAUAGCUCCGGCGGUUUUGGAUGGGCGUGCGCCUGAUUAGGUAGUUGGCGGGGUAACGGCCCACCAAGCCUGCGAUCAGUAACUGGUGUGAGAGCACGACCAGUCACACGGGCACUGAGACACGGGCCCGACUCCUACGGGAGGCAGCAGUAAGGAAUAUUGGUCAAUGGACGAAAGUCUGAACCAGCCAUGCCGCGUGAAGGAUGACGGCCCUCUGGGUUGUAAACUUCUUUUAUCUGGGACGAAAAAAGAUCAUUCUUGAUCACUUGACGGUACCAGAGGAAUAAGCACCGGCUAACUCCGUGCCAGCCGCCGCCGUAACAC
rnacentral:rRNA from 1 species